rnacentral:pre_miRNA from 12 species
UCCCACCGCUUUUGGCAAUGGUAGAACUCACACUGGUGAGGUCAUGGGAUCCGGUGGUUCUAGACUUGCCAACUCUGGUGCGAGG